UACGUAGGGUGCGAGCGUUGUCCGGAUUUACUGGGCGUAAAGGGCGUGCAGGCGGUUUGUUAAGUGCAGGGUGAAAGCUCCCGGCUCAACUGGGAGAGGUCCUUGCAUACUGGCGAACUCGAGGGAGGCAGAGGAAAGUGGAAUUCCCGGUGUAGUGGUGAUAUGCGUAGAUAUCGGGAGGAACACCUGUGGCGAAGGCGGCUUUCUGGGCCUUACCUGACGCUGAGACGCGAAAGCGUGGGGAGCGAACCGG
rnacentral:rRNA from 1 species